rnacentral:rRNA from 1 species
GAUGAACGCUGGCGGCAUGCCUUACACAUGCAAGUCGAACGGCAGCACGGGAGCAAUCCUGGUGGCGAGUGGCGAACGGGUGAGUAAAGUAUCGGAACGUGCCCAGUCGUGGGGGAUAACGUAGCGAAAGUUACGCUAAUACCGCAUACGAUCUAUGGAUGAAAGCGGGGGAUCGCAAGACCUCGCGCGAUUGGAGCGGCCGAUAUCAGAUUAGGUAGUUGGUGGGGUAAAGGCUCACCAAGCCGACGAUCUGUAGCUGGUCUGAGAGGACGACCAGCCACACUGGGACUGAGACAUGGCCCAGACUCCUACGGGAGGCAGCAGUGGGGAAUUUUGGACAAUGGGCGAAAGCCUGAUCCAGCCAUGCCGCGUGCAGGAUGAAGGCCUUCGGGUUGUAAACUGCUUUUGUACGGAACGAAAAGGUUUGGCCUAAUAAGCUGAGCUCAUGACGGUACCGUAAGAAUAAGCACCGGCUAACUACGUGCCAGCAGCCGCGGUAA